CUAACGAGCCUGGUGAUAGCUGGUUGUCCAGAAAAUGAAUCUAAGUUCAGCUUUAAAGAUACCAAAAAUUCAAAUAAACCCCACUGUAGCUUUAAAAGUUAGUCUAAAAAGGUACAGCCUUUUAGAAACGGAUACAACCUUGACUAGAGAGUAAAAUUUAACACUACCAUAGUAGGCCUAAAAGCAGCCAUCAAUUAAGAAAGCGUUAAAGCUCAACAACAAAAAUUAAAUAAAUUCCAACAACAAAUGAUUAACUCCUAGCCCCAAUACUGGACUUAUUUUAUUUCUCCGAAGAAGCCACAAUGGUAACUACCAGUAACAAGGAAAAUGUUGUUCUUGCAUAAGGCUUAGAUCGAUCCUCAAUAUGCUCCGGACACCAACCGGCAAAAAAGACUUCUCCAACUAAUAAAGCGCUUUCUCGC
rnacentral:rRNA from 1 species